UACGUAGGGUGCGAGCGUUAAUCGGAAUUACUGGGCGUAAAGCGUGCGCAGGCGGUUUGUUAAGUCUGAUGUGAAAUCCCCGGGCUCAACCUGGGAACUGCCUUUGUGACUGCAUAGCUAGAGUACGGUAGAGGGGGAUGGAAUUCCGCGUGUAGCAGUGAAAUGCGUAGAUAUGCGGAGGAACACCGAUGGCGAAGGCAAUCCCCUGGACCUGUACUGACGCUCAUGCACGAAAGCGUGGGGAGCAAACAGG
rnacentral:rRNA from 1 species